rnacentral:lncRNA from 1 species
CGAGGAAACACACUGGGCAAAACAGUGGAUGAAUUGUUUUUUCUAAAAUAACUCAAGUUGUGCACAUUUUUUAUACACGGUACUCGUCGAUAGAGCCAUGUCUGUCUGUCCGUCCGUCUUGUUGAACGCCUGGAUCUCAGAGACUAUAAAAGCUAGAGCCACAAAAUUUUGCAUCCAGACUUCUGUACGCUCAGUUACAAGUCUUCCGCGCCUCUGCCUCUGCCGGGACUCUGCAGUGUGCGGCUCUAGGGAGGGGGGCGAGCGAAAAUAGCGUGUUGGCGUGAGAAGUGUUGUAGAUGUAGAUGACAGAUGAAGAAAAUAUGUAAAAUUUGACAAAAAACCGCUAAGGUACAGAUGUAGUACUGAGUAGCGCGUAUACCGGCGUCUCACACGUCCCUUCUUGUUUUAAUUUGUAUCGCUUAAUAAUAUGUAUUGGUGGUAUUGCCAGUGGGGAAACACUGAGGGUAUAGUCUCCAUAAGUGCUACCUGUGCAUACAUAUGUAUGUGUGUACAUAUGCAUAUCGCCGUAUCAAUUCCCUACAUGUCAACUACAUACAUACAUACAUAUGUACGCGAAGUUAGGAUUUCUUUUCUGUGCCGCUGCGGCAGCCGAGCAGAAUGUGAGCCAAUAGUUUUUUAGGUUUCCUCGCUGUGCGUAACAAAAUUCGGGUUUGCCGGCGGCGUCGUUAUGCAGUGAAGAGCGAGUCGCCGCUUUGGCCAUUUUCGGUAAAAUAUACAUAUAUGUAUAUGUAUGUAUGUCGUACAUAAUGGUUUGCUCUCUAUGACAAGUCAUCACUUACUCUAAUGGUACAUUUCCAUUUUAACGACCUCAAUUUGUUGUAUGGAAAAUGAUCGCUUAUGCCAGAUGGGUGAAUGACGCCGACAUCGAUGUGUUGCCGCUUACACAUUGAUGUACUGCAGGGAACGGACAGGACACCUGAAAAUGGAUAUACGUACGUAUACGUAUACGUAUGUAACAUACAUACAUACAGGAUUCGAAUCUAUAAUUUAAAAAACUCAUAUGUACCAGUUUCUUUCCAAGACAAAGUCCCAGAUUUUACGGGUUAGACCAGAUGUCUGCAAAUCACAAAAGACAGAAACUCCGAACGUAAAUGUACAUAAGAAUGUAUUACAUCUUCCUCCCUGUGUACGCUUCCUCCCAAAUUUUUUAAGCUAUCCGGGAGUACGUUUGGAUAGACGUUUGUAUAUAUACAUAUACACAUACAUACAUACUUAGAUAGUGUGUAUA